AUGUUAUUGGAUAAAUCGGCGGUGAUAAUUGUCACCGCCUGUUUGGUAAAGUCUGUUACACAUAUGGGAUUCCCACUGCAAGAUAUCAUGCGCCCUCACUCAAUGCAUCCUUGGAUAAUUCAUCACCAUCAUCCAGCGCUGCAGAUGGACUCUCCUACGACGCACCAUCAAUCCGUGGCCAGUACAUGUUCAUUGCAUCAUCAUAUUUUAGCAUCAACAUUCCAGACUUGCACACCCAUGAUACACCCUUCUCAACCAGCCGCGCAAGAUCAGUAA